AGCUCCCACGGAGGAGUACUCGCGAGGGCGCAUGCCGCUUCCCGGGAGACCGUGCAGUACGCUCGGACCACCCGUUUGGCGACUGUGCGUUGUGGUCUUCUGAGUGCCGAUAUAUUGUCUCUACACAGGGAGACUCCCUUACAUAUGGGGCGCCGGACAGGGCUAUGGAUCGUACGACCCCUGCAAACAGUCGGCGGCACCCUAUAUGCGGGCCUCUCAAGUUGGGCAUUAUUCGACACAGUACGCCAGACACCCUCAAAAGUUUUGGGGUCAGAGCCUUGAAGUGGGCCUUAAAGUUCCACCGGCUGUCGAGGACUAAUCCUAGGUACUUCAUGGUCGACUCGACACCGAUGGAGACGCCACUCACAACAAUCUCGGACCCCACAGGUGGCCUUCUCCGCGGCCCGUGGAAACAGAUGGCCUGCGAUUUAUUGAGGGCCAAGGUUCAACUCUUCAUGAAGCCGCUUAUUGUAGAACUAAAAUUGGUUCCCUUCUGAACAAAAUUAUGGGAGAACUUUCAAAAUUUACUUCCAUUGCGAUGGUUAGAGGGAAAAAACUAGAAAAAGAAGUUCUUAAAGUAGUGAGCGGAAAAGAAAAGGUAAUUUCAUUCAUCAUCACAGACCGGUAUGCGGCAACUACAGUAACUUCCCGAACGCUGCCCAGCCGAGCUGAAUUUACUGAGUGACCUCUUUCUCGAAUUUCUUUCAUUUAAUUUCUGUUAUUUAAAUAUUUUGGAUAAUAGAAUUUAUAAUGUUACGUUCAAGGCUUGUGUAGUAAUUUAUAAUCAUUGUUUCUGCAUUUCAGAUUAAAAUUGUAAAGCUGGACUUCUUAAUGCUGAGUAUCCUAUUUUUGGUGCAACACCUGACGGGCUUACUGAAAAUUACAUAGUAGAGGUGAAAUGCCCUUCUACAGAAGCUACCAUACCUUCCUAUGUGAAAGAAAGUAAAAUAACACCUAAAUUUUGGGCACAAGUACAACUUCAAAUGUUUUUCAGCAAUAGAAAAAUGGCACUUUUCUGUCCAGAUUUCGAAAAAUCCAAAAAAGUAGAUAUUUAUAAUGUGCCGUUUGAUGACAAAAUUGUAUCUGUCAUGAAUGAUGCUAAGAAAUUCUGGAUAGAUGCUGUAUUUCCAAAAUUAAAAAAUAUAGUCGGAUGUCUCACAGUGAACCAGGCAGCUACAUUGAACCAUCGCCAUAUUUCUAAAAUGCAACGUUGUCACUUCGUGCUAAUGCGAGGAAAAGAGACAUCUAUAGACGCCGCUUUUACUCAGUAGUUUGCGUGGCGACAGCGUGCAAGGUGGCUGAGUGCGCACAGUUUCUUCGAAAAAUAGUCUCAAAAAAUGGCACGAAAUAGAGUAUUGGUAAGAAAACGGGGCGGGCACACAGCGGAAAGCAUGCUGAAUGCUCUUAAACUACAUAGAGCUGGCGAAUCCAUUAGAAAAGCUGCGAAAACUUAUGGCAUUGCUUAUCCUACCUUACGCCGCUAUGUAAAGCGGAAUUUAAACGUAGUUGAAGAAGAACUUGCUAACAAGAAAUUGACACCGAAUUAUGAAAAUCAUUUGAUUUUCAAUAAUCAACAAGAAGAAGCCCUCAAAGAAUACAUCAAUGAAUGCGCUUUGAAAUAUUAUGGACUGUCUGUGACCGACUGUCGCAAAAUUGC